UUUUUCCUCUCUUUUACUUUGAUGAUUGUUAUGUUAUGAAACUUUUCUUGUAUAAAGCUCAAUUUCUCUAUGACCACGGAAGUAAACAUCCUGAUGCAUUCUUGUCAUGUGAAUGUUGAGAGCGUGUUCAUUUUUGAAAUUUUGAAAUCUCCUUUCUGACAUAUAUAUUCUACAGGAUCAGCUGAGAUGUUAUUUCACUGGAUUAUUUAAUGGAUAGGCUUAUUGGGCAUAUAUUUGGAUAUCUCUGUCAUCAACAUGGAAUGUAUGACUUCGUCUUUAUACAGUCGGGUUCGGGUUCGGCGGCCAUGGCGAAUCUCGGCAAGAUUUUACCCCAGUGAAAAAAGACUUGUAAUCCACCGUUCCUCAACCUGGAAGAUAUGUUUUGUUCCUAACCAUCUAUAAUCCAUUCUCUAUGAAGUGAAGCCUGGCUGCUGGUCUUCCUUUGGAAAUACACAGUUUGUCAAUCAACAUAGAAACACACAAACUUGAAGGUAAAGUUUCAAUGAGAUACAAUUGUAACUUUUAUUUAUUUAUUUUUUUUUUUGUUACAUAUGCAUGUUUAUAUUUUGGAAUUGAUAAGUAAAUGAUAUAUGAUUUUUUAAAUAAAGAGGGCUUGGUGGUCAUGGUCAUGUUUAAACCAUAUUGAUAUCCUUCACAAGAAAAGGCAUAAAAAUUCAUGAUCAAAUUUUAAAACUAAAAUGUAUGAAGUUUUUCUGUGCCAAAUGAUAGUUAACAGCUAAAGAUAGCAUAUCUAUGGAAUAAGUUAAAUAUGGCUAUUUUGUUAACCCCCAGCUUCCAUAAUAGCAUAGUUGGUAAAGAUAGCAAGUUUUGACUUCAAUUGCUGAUGAAUUCUGAAUUUUCCAUUUAAUAUUAACAUUAUA